GAAAGUAUCGUGCAUGCUGAUGAGCACGGGGUUGGGCACAUGCCCUCUCCUGGGAGGAGGGUGUGUUUUCAGAGAAUGCCUGGGAGAGGCCGUUCUCGACACCCAAAGGUGAACUGGUGAUGGAGGAGCAUCAGGCACCACGUGGGAGUCUUGUUUUGGAGAAGCAGAUCUCCUCUCUGUCUCCAGGUGGUUUACAGAAGUCCGGGUCCGUCCCCUGGACGUAAAGGGGUGUGUUCUCCUCUCUGUCUCCAGGUGGUUUACAGAAGUCCGGGUCCGUCCCCUGGACGUAAAGGGGUGUGUUCUCCUCUCUGUCUCCAGGUGGUUUACAGAAGUCGGGGUCCAUCCCCUGGACGUAAAGGGGUGUGUUCUCCUCUCUGUCUCCAGGUGGUUUACAGAAGUCGGGGUCCGUCCCCUGGACGUAAAGGGGUGUGUUCUCCUCUCUGUCUCCAGGUGGUUUACAGAAGUCGGGGUCCGUCCCCUGGACGUAAAGGGGUGUGUUCUCCUCUCUGUCUCCAGGUGGUUUACAGAAGUCGGGGUCCGUCCCCUGGACGUAAAGGGGUGUGUUCUCCUCUCUGUCUCCAGGUGGUUUACAGAAGUCCGGGUCUGUCCCCUGGACGUAAAGGGGUGUGUUCUCCGUAUAAAUGCGCAAAAACUUAGGAGGGGAAGAAUUCUCCAACAAAGGCCAGUGUAUUUGGGCAGCAGCUUCCUUGGGACUUUGGAUCCUUUCUUCCGAUGGCGUCUGAGGCUCUUCCGCGUCUCUCUCCUUUCUCUUCUUCCCUGUGAGUCCCGGCAGGAAGACUGCGUGCCGGGCAGCCGCUGGCCCCUUCCACUCUUGGCGCAGUGGAAGGCUCCUUUAUUUCCACGAUGAACAGGUGUGACUAAGAAGGAACUAAAUAGUUCCAUGUUCUCCUGGGGGUGGAUGAAACCCCCUAUUUCCUCCAGUUUCAGUGAAUGAAGAAAUUAGUAUUGAUGAAUAGAAUUCUGAAUUUGAAAUCAUAUCUUCAAACCGCAGAGAACAACACCUUUUUUCUUAUGAUUUGUUUGGAUAAUAACGAUCUGUUCUGUGAAUCACAAGGUAAAAAUUUGGCAUCCCUGAGUUUGCGAGUUUCAAUAGGUGGACCGUGUAAAUCUCGGCUUUCUCUCUUGUUUGUGCUGAAAUUGAAUUUUGCUACUGUAUUAACACUAGGUCCUUACGUACCGUUGUUAUAAAUCACAUGUUGGAGAAGGAGAGGACUGCCAACGUGCCGAAUGGCGUAAAAUGCGGCUCCAUCCUCACGAAGCCUUCUUGGGAUGCGUAGAUAAAGGAUUUGGGAGAAAUGCCCUGUGCGGUUCCAGGCUUGUCAGGCAAAUCCAUAUCCCAUAUAACAGUUGGAUGACAGGGUCCCAGGAGAGGUUUCACAGCUGCUGAGCCUCCCCCAAGAGUGACAUUGGGAGAGAAGCCGGGCUGGCUCCUGAUCAAAUGGCCAUCCAGCCGGCAGCCACUGAAACCUGCUGCUGGCAGGAACGCCCUGCCUCCCCCAGAGGGUGCUGAGGGCGCAGAACCACCAGCUUGGGCACCUGCUUGGCCACAUUCACUUAGACGUCCUGGACCAUGAGUAAUAAAUGUGGUUAACAACCUGGCUGGCAAGAUCCUGCCCACAGCAGAAAUAAAACAGAGUCGUGCCACCAGGAAAGGAAAGCUUUCUAACUCCAUCGACUUCCUCAGCCGAGCCACCUGAAGCAGAGAAUGCACCAGGAAGGCCCCACCCCGACACACACCCUUGGCCGCCCUCGGCGCAGAGAGC
ensembl:lncRNA